CACUCCUACGGGAGGCAGCAGUGGGGAAUUUUGGACAAUGGGCGAAAGCCUGAUCCAGCAAUGCCGCGUGAGUGAAGAAGGCCUUCGGGUUGUAAAGCUCUUUUGUCAGGGAAGAAACGGUGAGAGCUAAUAUCUCUUGCUAAUGACGGUACCUGAAGAAUAAGCACCGGCUAACUACGUGCCAGCAGCCGCGGUAAUACGUAGGGUGCAAGCGUUAAUCGGAAUUACUGGGCGUAAAGCGUGCGCAGGCGGUUUUGUAAGUCUGAUGUGAAAUCCCCGGGCUCAACCUGGGAAUUGCAUUGGAGACUGCAAGGCUAGAAUCUGGCAGAGGGGGGUAGAAUUCCACGUGUAGCAGUGAAAUGCGUAGAUAUGUGGAGGAACACCGAUGGCGAAGGCAGCCCCCUGGGUCAAGAUUGACGCUCAUGCACGAAAGCGUGGGGAGCAAACAGGAUUAGAUACCCCAGUAGUCCCAUGAU
rnacentral:rRNA from 1 species